UACAGAGGUGGCAAGCGUUGUUCGGAAUUACUGGGCGUAAAGGGCGCGUAGGCGGCCUACUAAGUCAGACGUGAAAUUCCCCGGCUCAACCGGGGGCCUGCGUCGGAUACUGCUUGGCUUGAGUCCCGGAGAGGGUAGUGGAAUUCCCAGUGUAGCGGUGAAAUGCGUAGAUACUGGGAGGAACACCGGUGGCGAAGGCGGCUACCUGGACGGGUACUGACGCUGAGGCGCGAAAGCUAGGGGAGCAAAUGGG
rnacentral:rRNA from 1 species